rnacentral:rRNA from 1 species
GAUGAACGCUGGCGGCGUGCCUAAUACAUGCAAGUCGGGCGAACGGACGAGAAGCUUGCUUCUCUGAUGUUAGCGGCGGACGGGUGAGUAACACGUGGAUAACCUACCUAUAUGUCUGGGAUAACUUCGGGAAACCGGAGCUAAUACCGGAUGAUAUUUUGCACCGCAUGGUUCAAAAGUGAAAGGCGGUCUUGCUGUCACUUAUAGAUGGAUCUGCGCUGCAUUAGCUAGUUGGUAAGGUAACGGCUUACCACGGCGACGAUGCAUAGCCGACCUGAGAGGGUGAUCGGCCACACUGGAACUGGGACACGGUCCAGGCGCCUACGGGAGGCAGCAGUAGGGAAUCUUCCGCAAUGGGCGAAAGCCUGACGGAGCAACGGCGCGUGAGUGAUGAAGGUCUUCGGAUCGUAAAACUCGGUUAUGAGGGAAGAACAUAUGUGUAAGUAACUGUGCACAGCUUGACGGUACCUAAUAAGAAAGCCACGGCUAACUACGUG